GCCUACGGGGGGCAGCAGUGAGGAAUAUUGGUCAAUGGGAGAGAUCCUGAACCAGCCAAGCCGCGUGAGGGAAGACGGCCCUAUGGGUUGUAAACCUCUUUUGUCGGAGAACAAAACCCGGGACGUGUCCCGGACUGCGUGUAUCCGAAGAAAAAGCAUCGGCUAACUCCGUGCCAGCAGCCGCGGUAAUACGGAGGAUGCGAGCGUUAUCCGGAUUUAUUGGGUUUAAAGGGGGCGUAGGCGGUCCGUUAAGUCAGCGGAAAAAUUGGGGGGCUCAACCCCGUGGAGCCGUUGAAACGGGCAGG
rnacentral:rRNA from 1 species